UUUAUGAUAAACGCCAGCUCAAUCAAUCAAUGAAGGUACGAUCAGGUUUUAUAGCUUAUCAAUAAAGGGAUGGUCACCGAGCACUAUGGCACCCGAAUACAAUGCUGAAAUCGAAAGAAUUCAUGUCGAACACUGGGCCUACUGGUAGUCACCGGAGAAGACGGUCACAUUGCGGAAGAGAUGAGUGAAAGAAAAAUGUAUGUUAAUCUGGACGAAAUGGCGGCCAAAGACACAGCGCUGAGGGGGGAGUUGAAGGACAGAUCACUAAUGGACGUGCGGUCAGUCCAGCUCUCCGUAGGCUCAUCAUGGUGAUCCCAGCAGCUGGUGCCUAUCAAACCAGGUGUGGAAUAUGCACCAGCGGGGGCUAAGCACUCGGAAAAUGAGCACCCUGUCAGCGGGAAAAUUAAACGUUUGAUGGAAAGGUGCCAAA